GUGGGAUGAGAAUUGGAAGGGAAAAGGCUUGAGAAAAUUUUCCUUAUGAAGAAUCUGGAUCUUAUCAAUUUCACAGCCCAGGAAAGUUCCUCACAUUUGGGAGUUAUAUUUUAUUAUUGAGUGAAACAAACAGUGAGAAGCUUAAAAGCCACCCUCUCAGUGAUGCCAGAAGCCUGUAGAAGAUUUGUUAUGCCUCCUUUAUCAUCCAUGGUCUAUUAUGGCUACUUGCCGGUCACAUAAGAAGC
ensembl:lncRNA